CAAUAACAAAACACUCUUGUACAACGUUCUGCACUUUAGCACUGUUUUAGUUCGGACUUUCCUUUAUCCGCAUCUUUAUUGGUCAAUAAAUUCCGAUUACUUCGAUUAAAUGAUACAUUGACAUAUCAAGUGACAGCAACAGACGUUUAAGAGUUCUUACAUAAAUAAUGAGGAUUAUAAAUUGCUUCUACAACUUCUUGGGUUGCCUCACCGGUACCUACGUUUAUACGUUCUGUAUCAUUGCCGGAAUGUGCAUUGGCGCUUUGAUAUUCUACUUUUACAAAAACUCGAGUUUAAACCUCUUACCUGGUAUAAAUUAGUGCUCUGCAAUGUUAUUUUGUAAUUAAUAAAGUAAGUAAUUCGUUCUCGUA